rnacentral:rRNA from 1 species
GUGCCAGCAGCCGCGGUAAGACAGAGGGUGCAAACGUUGUUCGGAAUUACUGGGCGUAAAGCGUGUGUAGGCGGCUACAUAAGUCGGAUGUGAAAGCCCCGGGCUCAACCCGGGAAGUGCACUCGAUACUGCGUAGCUUGAGUCUCGGAGAGGUUGGUGGAAUUCUCGGUGUAGAGGUGAAAUUCGUAGAUAUCGAGAGGAACACCGGUGGCGAAGGCGGCCAACUGGACGAAGACUGACGCUGAGACACGAAAGCGUGGGGAGCAAACAGGAUUAGAAACCCGCGUAGUCC